rnacentral:snRNA from 1 species
GUACUAUGCUAUCUUCGGCAGUACAUAUACUAUGAUAUAGAGAAUCAUGGCCCCUCCUCAAGGAUGACACACAAAUUCGUGAAGCGUUCCAUAUUUUU